rnacentral:lncRNA from 1 species
AGACAGCAUAAGAACAACUAAAUCUCUCAAAAUUUUAUAAACAGGCUGGGCAUGGUGGCUCAUGCCUAUUUUAUAAACAGGCUGGGCAUGGUGGCUCAUGCCUGUAAUCCCAGCACUUUGGGACGCCAAGGCAGGUGGAUCACUUGAGGUCAGGAGUUCGAGACCAGCCUGGCCAACAUGGUGAAACCCUGUCUCCACUAAAAAUACAAAAAUUACCCAGGUGUGGUGGCAUGUGCCUGUAGUCCCAGCUACUUGGGAGGCUGAGGCAGGAGAAUUGCUUGAACCCAGGAGGCAGAGGUUGCAGUGAGUUGAGAUUGUGCCACCGCACUCCAACCUGGGCAACAGAGCAAGACUCUGUCUCAAAAAAAAAAUUAUAAGCAAAAUCUACUAAAUUUUAGUCAUUUGACCGUAAGAUAUAAUUUCCAUAAACCUUUCUAUAACCUGUAUAACCUUUUUUUAAGGAGUGUGCUAAUGCUCUAAGAAAAUGCUCAAAAACCAGCCAUAUGCUGGUUUUGCAUCAGUGUGCCUUUGACAUUAAUGGUUAGGUUUAUAGAGAACCAAACUAAUUUAAUCUCUCAACAUCAGCCCUUACAAUCUCAUGCACCCAGCUCUUCCACAAUAGUCCCUGAGCCUUGGGAAGUCGAAUACGUUUAAUUUCUGGCCCUGUGUCUCAUGAAAGCAGUUUAUUUUGAUUGGCAUCUUCUACCAGGUCUGAAGAUGAGGCUUUAACUGCUGUCAGUAUUUAAGAUUGAGCAGGACUUAGUGUCCUUUUUAGACUCAAGAGUCAAACCCUGUAAUUGAAUGGCACAAAAACUUGAAAAGCACAUACAGAAAGUUACACGGAUGCAAUAACUUUAAUUUAGAAUGUUUUUUCAGUUUUUUCUAAGCAAACCAAAACUUAAUAGUAAUGAUAUAGGAAUUAUUUCAAUAAAACAUAAAAUCUGUUUGUUAGGCCAGUUACCAAAAGGCAAAAGCAAAGACCUUCUGCAGUGUAAUUUCUGUUCCCUAUGGGGAAUCCAUUUAGAUAAUCUGCAAGUCAAAACUAAUGAAAAUAGUACUUGAAUUAGACAUAGGAAGAAUG